rnacentral:rRNA from 1 species
UACAGGGGGGGGCAAGCGUUGUUCGGAAUUACUGGGCGUAAAGGGCUCGUAGGCGGCCAAUUAAGUCCGACGUGAAAUCCCCAGGCUUAACCUGGGAACUGCGUCGGAUACUGAUUGGCUUGAAUCCGGGAGAGGGAUGCGGAAUUCCAGGUGUAGCGGUGAAAUGCGUAGAUAUCUGGAGGAACACCGGUGGCGAAGGCGGCAUCCUGGACCGGCAUUGACGCUGAACAGCGAAAGCCAGGGGAGCAAACGGG